rnacentral:rRNA from 1 species
GAGUUUGAUCAUGGCUCAAAUUGAACGCUGGCGGCAGGCUUCCCUCAUGCAAGUCGAGCGGGGGAGGUUGCUUCGGUAACUGACCUAGCGGCGGACGGGUGAGUAAUGCUUAGGAAUCUGCCUAUUAGGGGGGGACAACGUUUCAAAAGGAACGCUAAUACCGCAUACGUCCUACGGGAGAAAGCAGGGGAUCACUUGUGACCUUGCGCUAAUAGAUGAGCCUAAGUCGGAUUAGCUAGUUGGGGGGGUAAAGGCCUACCAAGGCAACAAUCUGUAGCGGGUCUGAGAGGAUGAUCCGCCACACUGGGACUGAGACACGGCCCAAACUCCUACGGGAGGCAGCAGUGGGUAAUAUUGGACAAUGGGGGGAACCCUGAUCCAGCCAUGCCGCGUGUGUGAAGAAGGCCUUUUGGUUGUAAAGCACUUUAAGCGAGGAGGAGGAGCUUCAGGUUAA